rnacentral:rRNA from 1 species
CCUACGGGUGGCUGCAGUGAGGAAUAUUGGUCAAUGGACGAAAGUCUGAAGGAGCCAUGCCGCGUGCAGGAAGACGGCUCUAUGAUUGGUAAACUGCUUUUGUACAAGGGUAAACCUGAAUACGUGACUUCACCUGAAAGGACUGUACGAAUACAGAUCGGCUCACUCCGUGCCAGCAGCCGCGGUAAUACGGAGGUUCCAAGCGUUAUGCGGACUUAUUGGGUUUAAAGGGUGCGUCGGCGGAUGGAUAAUGUAGAGGUGAAAUGUCCGAGCUCAACUCGGGAAGUGCCUUGAAUACUGUUGAUCUAGAGAGUAGAUGCGGUAGGUGGAAUGUAUGGUGUAGCGGUGAAAUGCUCAGAGAUCAUACAGAACACCGAUUGCGAAGGCAGCUUACUAAGCUAUAUCUGACGUUGAGGCACGAAAGCGUGGGGAGCAAACAGGAUUAGAUACCCGAGUAGUC